CCUACGGGAGGCAGCAGUGAGGAAUAUUGGUCAAUGGGCGCGCGCCUGAACCAGCCAAGUCGCGUGAGGGAAGACGGUCCUAUGGAUUGUAAACCUCUUUUGUCGGGGAGCAAAAGACGCCACGCGUGGCGUUCCGAGAGUACCCGAAGAAAAAGCAUCGGCUAACUCCGUGCCAGCAGCCGCGGUAAUACGGAGGAUGCGAGCGUUAUCCGGAUUUAUUGGGUUUAAAGGGUGCGCAGGCGGAAGAUCAAGUCAGCGGUAAAAUUGAGAGGCUCAACCUCUUCGAGCCGUUGAAACUGGUGUUCUUGAGUGAGUGAGAAGUAUGCGGAAGGCGUGGUGUAGCGGUGAAAUGCAUAGAUAUCACGCAGAACUCCGAUUGCGAAGGCAGCAUACCGGCGCUCAACUGACGCUCAUGCACGAAAGUGUGGGUAUCGAACAGGAUUAGAUACCCGAGUAGUC
rnacentral:rRNA from 1 species